GACAGAGGAUGCAAGCGUUAUCCGGAAUGAUUGGGCGUAAAGCGUCUGUAGGUGGCUUUUUUAAGUCCGCCGUCAAAUCCCAGGGCUCAACCCUGGACAGGCGGUGGAAACUACCAAGCGGAGUACGGUAGGGGCAGAGGGAAUUUCCGGUGGAGGCGGUGGAAAUGCGUAGAGAUCGGAAAGAACACCAACGCGAAAGCACUCUGC
rnacentral:rRNA from 1 species